UACGAAGGGUGCAAACGUUGCUCGGAAUUAUUGGGCGUAAAGCGCACGUAGGCGGCAUUGCAAGUCGGAUGUGAAAUCUUAUGGCUUAACCAUAAAAGUGCAUCCGAAACUGCAGUGCUUGAGUACUUAAGAGGAUCGCGGAAUUCCCGGUGUAGAGGUGAAAUUCGUAGAUAUCGGGAGGAACACCAGCGGCGAAGGCG
rnacentral:rRNA from 1 species